UACAGAGGGUGCAAGCGUUGUUCGGAAUUAUUGGGCGUAAAGCGCGUGUAGGCGGCUUUGCAAGUCGGGUGUGAAAGCCCUCAGCUCAACUGAGGAAGUGCGCCCGAAACUGCAGAGCUUGAGUGCCGGAGAGGGUGGCGGAAUUCCCCAAGUAGAGGUGAAAUUCGUAGAUAUGGGGAGGAACACCGGGUGGCGAAGGCGGCCACCUGGACGGUAACUGGACGCUGAGACGCGAAAGCGUGGGGAGCAAACAGG
rnacentral:rRNA from 1 species